UACGUAGGGUGCAAGCGUUACUCGGAAUUACUGGGCGUAAAGCGUGCGCAGGCGGUUGUGUAAGUCAGAUGUGAAAUCCCCGGGCUCAACCUGGGAACUGCAUUUGUGACUGCACAGCUGGAGUGCGGCAGAGGGGGAUGGAAUUCCGCGUGUAGCAGUGAAAUGCGUAGAUAUGCGGAGGAACACCGAUGGCGAAGGCAAUCCCCUGGGCCUGCACUGACGCUCAUGCACGAAAGCGUGGGGAGCAAACAGG
rnacentral:rRNA from 1 species